UGGGGAAUAUUGGACAAUGGGGGCAACCCUGAUCCAGCCAUGCCGCGUGAGUGAUGAAGGCCUUCGGGUUGUAAAGCUCUUUCGCACGCGACGAUGAUGACGGUAGCGUGAGAAGAAGCCCCGGCUAACUUCGUGCCAGCAGCCGCGGUAAUACGAAGGGGGCUAGCGUUGUUCGGAAUUACUGGGCGUAAAGGGCGCGUAGGCGGCGCUUCAAGUCAGAUGUGAAAGCCCCGGGCUCAACCUGGGAACAGCAUUUGAGACUGGAGUGCUUGAGUUCCGGAGAGGUGGGUGGAAUUCCCAGUGUAGAGGUGAAAUUCGUAGAUAUUGGGAAGAACACCGGUGGCGAAGGCGGCCCACUGGACGGAUACUGACGCUGAGGCGCGAAAGCGUGGGGAGCAAACAGGAUUAGAUACCCUGGUAGUCCACGCCGUAAACGAUGUCGGCUAGACGGUUGGGCUGCUUGGAGCUUCGGUGUCGCAGCUAACGCAUUAAGCCGACCGCCUGGGGAGUACGGCCGCAAGGUUGAAACUCAAAUGAAUGAC
rnacentral:rRNA from 1 species